UACGUAGGUGACCAGCGUUGUCCGGAUUUACUGGGCGUAAAGAGCGCGCAGGCGGUCGUUCAAGUCGAGUGUGAAAGCCCCCGGCUCAACUGGGGAGGGUCAUUCGAUACUGAUCGACUCGAAGGCAGGAGAGGGAAGCGGAAUUCCCGGUGUAGUGGUGAAAUUCGUAGAUAUUGGGAAGAACACCGGUGGCGAAGGCGGCGACCUGGUCCAUUACUGACGCUGAGGCGCGACAGCGUGGGGAGCAAACAGG
rnacentral:rRNA from 1 species